rnacentral:rRNA from 1 species
GGGAAUAUGCACAAUGGGCGCAAGCCUGAUGCAGGGACGCCGCGUGAGGAUGACGGCCUUCGGGUUGUAACCUCUGUUAGCAUCGANGAGCGAAAAGUGACGGUAGGUGCAGAGAAAGCGCCGGCUAACUACGUGCCAGCAGCCGCGGUAAUACGUAGGGCGCGAGCGUGUUCCGGAAUUAUUGGGCGUAAAGAGCUUGUAGGCGGUUGGUCGCGUCUGCUGUGAAAGGCUGGGGCUUAACCCUGGUUUUGCAGUGGGUACGGGCUAACUAGAGUGCAGUAGGGGAGACUGGAAUUCCUGGUGUAGCGGUGGAAUGCGCAGAUAUCAGGAGGAACACCGAUGGCGAAGGCAGGUCUCUGGGCUGUAACUGACGCUGAGAAGCGAAAGCAUGGGGAGCGAACAGGAUUAGAUACCCUGGUAGUCCAUGCCGUAAACGUUGGGCACUAGGUGUGGGGGACAUUCCACGUUUUCCGCGCCGUAGCUAACGCAUUAAGUGCCCCGCCUGGGGAGUACGGCCGCAAGGCUAAAACUCAAAGAAAUUGACGGGGGCCCGCACAAGCGGCGGAGCAUGCGGAUUAAUUCGAUGCAACGCGAAGAACCUUACCAAGGCUUGACAUAUACUGGACUGCGUCAGAGAUGGCGUUUCCCUUCGGGGCUGGUAUACAGGUGGUGCAUGGUUGUCGUCAGCUCGUGUCGUGAGAUGUUGGGUUAAGUCCCGCAACGAGCGCAACCCUCGUUCUAUGUUGCCAGCACGUGAUGGUGGGGACUCAUAGGAGACUACCGGGGUCAACUCGGAGGAAGGUGGGGAUGACGUCAAAUCAUCAUGCCCCUUAUGUCUUGGGCUUCACGCAUGCUACAAUGGCCGGUACAGAGGGUUGCGAUACUGUGAGGUGGAGCUAAUCCCUAAAAGCCGGUCUCAGUUCGGAUUGGGGUCUGCAACUCGACCCCAUGAAGUCGGAGUCGCUAGUAAUCGCAGAUCAGCAACGCUGCGGUGAAUACGUUCCCGGGCCCUUUGUCCCCACCGCCC